AAAGAGAAGGAAAAAGAGAAAGAAAAAGAGAAGGAAGAAAGGCGAAGGAACAAGGGCAAGAUGAAGAAUUUUUCUCACAGAUUGGCUUUUUGUUUCUUGGUUUUGUUCUUGAUGGGUUGUCUUUUCCUCUUUCCU
rnacentral:ribozyme from 13 species